AUUGAACGCUGGCGGCAGGCCUAACACAUGCAAGUCGAACGAGUGGCGGACGGGUGAGUAAUGUCUGGGAAACUGCCCGAUGGAGGGGGAUAACUACUGGAAACGGUAGCUAAUACCGCAUACCAUCGGAUGUGCCCAGAUGGGAUUAGCUAGUAGGGGGGGUAACGGCUCACCUAGGCGACGAUCCCUAGCUGGGCUGAGAGGAUGACCAGUCCGGCUGGAACUGAGAAACGGCCCAGUCUCCUACGGGAGGAAGCAGUGGGGAAUAUUGCACAAUGGGCGCAAGCAUGAUGCAGCCAUGCCGCGUGUAUGAAGAAGGCCUUCGGGUCGUAGAGUUCUUUCAUCCAGUAGGCGUUACUCGCAGAAGAAGCACCGGCUAACUCCGUGCCAGCAGCCGCGGUAAUAC
rnacentral:rRNA from 1 species